rnacentral:rRNA from 1 species
CCUACGGGGGGCAGCAGUGAGGAAUAUUGGUCAAUGGCCGGAAGGCUGAACCAGCCAAGCCGCGUGAAGGACGAAGGUGCCAAGCAUUGUAAACUUCUUUUGUCAAGGGACAAAAUCAGGCUCGAGAGCCUGACCGAGGGUACUUGAAGAAAAAGCACAGGCUAACGCCUUGCCAGCAGCCGCGGAAAUACGGGGGAUGCGAGCGUUAUCCGGAUUUAUUGGGUUUAAAGGGUGCGUAGGGGGGCUGUUAAGUCAGCGGUAAAAGCCCGGGGCUCAACCCCGGCGAGCCGUUGAUACUGGCUGUCUUGAGAUGUAGAGAGGUAUGCGGAAUGCGCGGUGUAGCGGUGAAAUGCGUAGAUAUUGCGCAGAACUCCGAUUGCGAAGGCAGCAUACCGGCGGCGAUCUGACGCUGAGGUACGAAAGCGUGGGUAGCGAACAGGAUUAGAUACCCUGGUAGUC